UCCCCCGCGAACCCUAGCGCUCCCCGAUCCCUCCCACCUCCCCUCCCCUCGCCGCCACCCACUCCUCCCCUCGCUCUCCUCCCUCCCCUCCAGCAAGAUCCAGUGCGCUCCAAGAUCCCCAUGCUCUGCCCCUCCCUCCCUCCCCUUCGGUGCGUGGCCUCCCCCUCUCCUCGAUCCAGAUCGACAGGUCCACCACCUACACUUUCGGCGACCCCAAUCCGGCGACAGAGACGGCUGCUCCCGCGCCGACCUUCUUCCUCGCCCCAGAUGCCGCUGCUCAUCUCCUCUCCGGUCAGUGCGGAGGAGCCACCGCUGUCGAGGUGGCCCAUCUCUUCCUCCCAUGGCCAUGGCCAUGACGAGCCUGCAAGAUGUGCUGCAGCAGAUCUUCGAGUACAAUGGCUCCCCCGUGGUGGAGAUGGUGGGGAAGAACUGCUUCGCCAUCGCCAGUGACUACCACCUCGGUGUGCAGCUGCAGACCAUCGCCACCGACUUCCAACGGGCCUUCAAGAUCCACGGCAAGCUCUACAUCAGCCUCUCCGGCCUCACCACCGACGCCCAGACAUUGCAACAUGGUGACUCUAGUGCAGGUAGCGCUUGCCAUCCUCUUUGAGGCCGUGUGUUUAGCGCAUGCUCUUUUUCUGUCUGUACGGAAUCUUGAUAUGGUGUUUUCGCAGCUGAGAUAUUAGAUUGCACUUUGGUAUGUGAUUUACUCAUGUUGGUACUGCUUGUUAAGUGAUUAUCUUUAUGCCCUUGCUACCUGUAGGAUGGUCAAUACAUGAUUUCCCUGUAACUUGUCUUUUCUGAAACAGUUUGCUUGGUCCUUCAUAUCUGACUAUGUAAUGUAGAAGCUCUACUUUAUCCUAAUAGCUGCUUGUAGCAUUGUGAUACUAUUUGUGUGAUGCUAAAUCUGUUGCUAUAUUCUCAAGUGUUGUUUACCAUUUACAUUCUUUUUACAUUUGCUAUAUUCACAAAUAGUAGUAGUGUCUGGUCUAGAUAAGCAAACAAGUAGUAGUGUCUGGUCUAGAUAAGUAAACAAGGGAUGAUCUAUGCAGUUGUUGAUAUGAAUUGUUUGUUUCUGGGAGGUGUAGGGCGAGCUGCAGCGGGACAACCUGGAGUGGAAGAACUUCGAGGACAAGAUCAUUGAGAACCUGGAGAAGAUCAGCGACUACCUCAUCCUCGUCUGCAUGGUUGGCUCCUUUGGCAGACCCCUCUUUGGCUUCGACCAACUUACUUUUGUCGCUGGCUAGCAGCAUUUCCAGGUGUUGUGUGUUCUGGAAGAUGGAAGAGGAAGAAAACUUAUUUUUGUUGAACUAAAUUUUCUGUAUUAUGUUUUGUUGUACGUAUCAUUUGAUAGUUUUGUAUAGGAACAAGUGAUACUAUCUUGUAGGGCUUUAUGGCUUGUAAUGUAAACAUAUUUAGUGCUGAAAUAUGAAAUUAUUUGCAAAAUUUGUCGGAAA